GUUGUAAUACCAAUAACUUCCUUUUAUUAUUAACAUAAGAGAGAGCUCUUUACAAAUUGUUUAGAAUUUUACAAUAUAAUUUCCAACAUUUUGUUUAAGUACCUGAAUUGAGUACCGAAAGAGUUCAAAUUUAAAUCCGUGUUCCAGAUGUUGGGUUACAAAGUUCUCUCGGGGAGGCAGGCUAGCCUGAUCUUGUCCUUGGACGGGAAAGUGGUGAUGGAGACACUCAAGGAUUAAAAAUGCAGGAACAGGAAAUAAGUGAUGUAAACAGCACAGGUGAUGAAUUGUGGCAACAGGUUGUCAGUCCUCCUGACGAAAACGAUGGAGACAAAGCAAUGGAGUCGAAAGGCAAACAUGCAAAAGUCGGAAAGAUCGGAGAAAUUUCUUUCAAAUUCUUCUCUACAUACGAGUUCUUCGGUAUGUCGUUUAAACCUGAGUUCCCCUGAGGUACUUCCCACGGUCAUUUUUAUAGGGUCUCCAAUAUCGAGACCUUUCAUCUCAGCUGGUGAAGGGGC
rnacentral:lncRNA from 1 species